rnacentral:lncRNA from 1 species
AUAUUCACAAAGCAUCUCUAAGAUACAUACUACUAUUACAUAAAUCCCCAUAGCACAAUACAAAAAGGACUAGACCAAUAUAAUAAGAUUUACAGAUGUGAAUGCUCCCUAUCUCUCUCUCUUGAUGAAUGUAAAGAAAUGACCACAUAAUUCUAUUGCCGAGACCAACAACCUUGUAAAUCUAUUGCCGAAACCAGCAUCACCAGUCCCAUACCAGAUGAUCGCAGGAGAUGACUGCCUUAGGUUUACAGAUACAACAACCGAACAACAGUGCUCCACAUCUCAAGUCUUGCCUCCCACAUUGACACUAGGCAGCAGCAACAUGAAUGCCCGUUUUCAUGCUUGGAGCACUUGACAGUGUACAAUGUGACUCUUCAAACCAGUUCGGCCUGCUAUACUUGACCAUAGAUUUGAGACUAGAGUUCUGAAAUGACCUUUACCAGCAAUAUUUUCCCAAAGGUUAGGGUUGCUUUCCACCUGUUUAUCCCGACUCGAAAUAUCAACUAAACUGAUGCUCAUGUUAUUACGAAUAAUGCAAAGCUUCCCAUUGAGGGGAACAAGUGCAGUGUUGGCAUAUUUGGUUUAGGCUUUUCGGAGGUAUAGAUAAACAUGAAUGUUGGGAGGAUUAAAGGAAUAAUGUGGAUGCAAAACAUAAGACUAAACAAAUUAAGAAGAAACACUAAAAUAAGAACAUAAUAUUAAUGGAGAUGUGCAGCCCGAAGGCAUGCACAGAGCUCCUAGCCUAUCAAGAUGACUACCUUAUAGAAUAGGCUUUUAGAUAAGAAACAAAGAGGAUUGGAUUAAAAACUUGAUUCAACUUCAUACUGUGAGUGGAAGAUUACACCAUCCUUAUAUAGGUUUAGAUGCACAGCUACAAGAGUAUUUGACUCAGUUGUUUGCAAGCUUAAAAUAGUUGUAUAGCAACUCAUAUCAAGCAGUGUAAAGUGUAAACCCUUUUUUUGUAUGAUCUGGUGUAAUUGCAUAGAGUCUAUUAAAAGCAAUAUAUGAAUCAUUUUCAGCACUCUCUUCUGAUAGUUCUGAUUUUGUAGUCUUUGAUUUCAAUUCAGUUGAACAUUUAGAUAUGGGAGGUAAUUAAAAGACUGGACUGUAACCAAAUGAAGUACUUGUGGGAGCUGGUUGGUUGGAGCCAACUUUGAUGGUGCUUUCAAUACCAGUUUGGCUAAGGGUGGUGUGGUACUGGGGGACUCAAAUGGCGACAUAGCUGAGGAACUUGUAUGCAAGUUGCUUCUUCACCGAUCGAAAUUGAUGCCAGGGCUGCUAGAGUCACUUGUCCUUUGGCUAUGCAAUCAUAGCUUGUUCCUGGCAGUUUUGAAGGGCUCUGCGUGCAGGUUAUUCAUGCUGUCAACUAAUGCUAGGCAGGAUGACACAUCUAUUUGGGGUCUUUUAAUUUAUGAUUCGGCAUUUUAUUGAACCAGUUGCCUAUUCUUCUUUCUCCCAUCCCAUCGUUUAUAUGUUUCAAGUGAACUGAACAAGUGUUGUGUUUGUGUUUUGGUGAUUUUUUUUCUUUUAUUUAUUGCUACCACAACAAUCUAUGGACUCAUAAAAUCCAAGAGUAUACUAGUAAAUCAAUUCAAUAAAAUCUGUUAGACUCUAUAGGGAAUUUAAAUAAUCCAUGGAGUUGGCAAAAUCUAUGAAUUAUUAAGAGUCAACGAAAAUCUUUUAAAAUCUAAAUUGAAUACACCCCCCUUAAAUUAGUACUAAAUUGACAAUUUUCCUUUACUCAAUCGAUGAUAAGUGAGGAGUCGCCUUCAAUCUGAUCGACUCUUAGCCUCAAGGAGCCAUUCUCUCAAAGCAACGCAUUUAGAGUUGUGAAGCUCCCGCCCACUGAACAUAAUAGGAAAACCAGAGGAAUCUAAUUAUGAAACUGCAAGCUUGAUUUUUUUCAAUUGGUAAAACAAAGGAGGAAGCUUGAUUUUGCUUCCAAUUGCAUGUUCCGUGCAUGAAUAAGAAUAAAAUGGUAUGUGUAUGAAGUCAAUUGCCUAUAUAUGGGCAUGAAAGUUCAAAAAUUGCAGCAAAAGAACUAAAUAGAGAUUGUUACUAUGUAGAUAGGGAUAUAUAUAUGAGGAACCUGAUUGAGAUCUUAGUUUUUUUUUUUUUUUUUUAGUAGUAUCAACGACGGUAUCUUCAAAGGUUUUUCAGGCCCAAAGAUUAAUCCGCGCCGAGAGAUCAUAUGAGAACGCUUUCUCCCCCCUGCCACCAAGAAUAAAUUGGGAUUUUAACUCCAAUUAGCGUCAGCUGAGAUUCGAACCUGGAUAUGAGGAUUCCACACCUAGGCUCUUACCAACUCGACCACAUGUGGUGGUUCUGAUUGAGAUCUAGUUAAUUGAUUGAAUACUAUAUGUUUUAUGAUGGACUCGGACAUAAAUCAAUGUUGUAAAGAAACACCUCAUUGAUUUGGAUGGUUGAGCUUGCCGUCAAUAAUGGAUAUGGUUCAUCAACCAAACGUUCACAUUAGCAUGCACUAAUUAACAAUAGUUUUUUCGAUACUGUCCAAUUUAACCACAGUUUGAGACCAUGGUCCAAAUUUCAUAAUUAGAUCAAUUGGUUAUUCAUAAGGUCUCCAUCAUCCAUCUUUAUCCACGAGGAAGAGUCAGCAUAUAUUACUGGUUAUUCACAACCAUUUGUUAAUGGUUUAUGACCAAUGCGAUUGAUGACUUGAAAGUUAUAGAGCUAAUUUUUUUCACCUAGUUGGCAAUAGAAUACCAACUCAUGCUUCUAAGUUAGAGGUAUUGAUCAUGCUAUAAAUACACCAUUGAGAACACUGCAGCCAACACAAAGGGAUUCUGAAGCACAGUUCUCUCCAAACCCCGAAAUCCGACAUCAAGAAUUAUUUGAGUUUUCUUACCAAAAGCAGCUGUCAUGGAUGCUCGUCGAGAGGUUGCUGCGACUGGAAGCCAACGAGUGGUGCAGAAGGAAAGGGAUAAUGCAAAGAAACAGGCAAUGAGCAGAAGGAUGAUGGCAGCCGAUGCUCAAGGCGACAUUAAUGAUAUGGCUGAUGCCUUCAUCAAGAAGUUCAGGAACCAGCUAAAGAUUCAAAGGGAAGAAUCAUUCAAAAGGCUUCAGGAAAUGCUUGCUCGUGGAGUUUAAAACUUCAGCUUGUGUCGUGUGAACAAAAUAACUAGCAAUGUUCAGAUAUAUUGAAAUGGUUUGUUGGCUUGUAGCCUUAAAGAUCAAUAAAGAUGGAGCAAUGGCGACCGAUUGAAUAAAUAGUUUGCUCGAUUCUUACAUGACUUUUCCUGUAAUCCACUGUUUCAAUUUUUUGCUGGUCUAUGAAGAACACUGAUUAUAUAUCCAAGAGCAAAUAGAAGACUAAACUACUGGAAAGCCUACCAAUUUGCAGAGAUGAGCACGUAUAUAUUGAAUGAUCUCUAAUCACCCACGUAUAUUCACAAAGCAUCUCUAAGAUACAUACUACUAUUACAUAAAUCCCCAUAGCACAAUACAAAAAGGCCUAGACCAAUAUAAUAAGAUUUACAGAUGUGAAUGCUCCCUAUCUCUCUCUCUUGAUGAAUGUAAAGAAAUGACCACAUAAUUCUAUUGCCGAGACCAACAACCUUGUAAAUCUAUUGCCGAAACCAACAUCACCAGUCCCAUACCAGACGAUCGCAGGAGAUGACUGCCUUAGGUUUAUGGAUACAACAACUGAACAACAGUGCUCCACAUCUCAAGUCUUGCUUCCCACAUUGACACUAAGCAGAAACAACAUGAAUGCCCGUUUUCAUGCUUGAAGCACUUGACAGUGUACAAUGUGACUCUUCAAACCAGUUCGGCCUGCUAUACUUGACCAUAAAUUUGAGACUAGAGUUCUGAAAUGACCUUUACCAGCAAUAUUUUCCCAAAG